GGCCGCCUGGCGAAAUGGUAUCGCGUCUGACUACGAGUGGUAUUGAUCAGGAGAUUGCAGGUUCGAGCCCUGCGGUGGUCA
rnacentral:tRNA from 1 species